rnacentral:rRNA from 1 species
AACAGGAUUAGAUACCCUGGUAGUCCACGCCGUAAACGAUGUCGACUUGGAGGCUGUUCCCUUGAGGAGUGGCUUCCGGAGCUAACGCGUUAAGUCGACCGCCUGGGGAGUACGGCCGCAAGGUUAAAACUCAAAUGAAUUGACGGGGGCCCGCACAAGCGGUGGAGCAUGUGGUUUAAUUCGAUGCAACGCGAAGAACCUUACCUACUCUUGACAUCCAGAGAAUUUAGCAGAGAUGCUUUAGUGCCUUCGGGAACUCUGAGACAGGUGCUGCAUGGCUGUCGUCAGCUCGUGUUGUGAAAUGUUGGGUUAAGUCCCGCAACGAGCGCAACCCUUAUCCUUUGUUGCCAGCGCGCAAUGGCGGGAACUCAAAGGAGACUGCCGGUGAUAAACCGGAGGAAGGUGGGGAUGACGUCAAGUCAUCAUGGCCCUUACGAGUAGGGCUACACACGUGCUACAAUGGCGCAUACAAAGAGAAGCGACCUCGCGAGAGCAAGCGGACCUCAUAAAGUGCGUCGUAGUCCGGAUUGGAGUCUGCAACUCGACUCCAUGAAGUCGGAAUCGCUAGUAAUCGUAAAUCAGAAUGUUACGGUGAAUACGUUCCCGGGCCUUGUACACACCGCCCGUCACACCAUGGGAGUGGGUUGCAAAAGAAGUAGAUAGCUUAACCUUCGGGAGGGCGUUUACCACUUUGUGAUUCAUGACUGGGGUGAAGUCGUAACAAGGUAACCGUAGGGGAACCUGCGGCUGGAUCACCUCCUU